rnacentral:rRNA from 1 species
AGCGAACGCUGGCGGCAUGCCUAACACAUGCAAGUCGAACGAACUCUUCGGAGUUAGUGGCGGACGGGUGAGUAACACGUGGGAACGUGCCUUUUGGUUCGGAAUAACUCAGGGAAACUUGUGCUAAUACCGAAUGUGCCCUUCGGGGGAAAGAUUUAUCGCCAUUAGAGCGGCCCGCGUCUGAUUAGCUAGUUGGUGAGGUAACGGCUCACCAAGGCGACGAUCAGUAGCUGGUCUGAGAGGAUGACCAGCCACACUGGGACUGAGACACGGCCCAGACUCGUACGGGAGGCAGCAGUGGGGAAUCUUGCGGAAUGGGGGAAAGCGUGACGCAGCCAUGCCGGGUGAAUGAUGAAGGUCUUAGGAUUGUAAUAUUCUUUGAGAGGAGACGAUAAUGACGGUACCCGGAGAAGAAGCCCCGGCUAACUUCGUG